rnacentral:tRNA from 1 species
GCCGAAUUAGCUCAAUUGGUAGAGCAAAUGAUUUGUAAUCAUUAGGUUAUAAGUUCAAGUCUUAUAUUCGGC